CAGAAUAAAAAUGCUACAAUUGGAUGCAAUGCCAGUAGCUGUCUAAAAGAAAUCACCAUCUUAUGGUGGCAUGUUAGAGAGUAAUUUGAGUGGGGAAGCCUAGAGUUAAAAGAGACUAAGAAACUAUUGGAAUGGGCUAUGUGAGAUAAGUUCAAGGCCUGACACCUGGGCAAGAGUGACGGAAAUGAAGGGGAAGAGUGAGUGAGAGAAAUGGGAGAGGGAAAUGACUGCGCUUGGUGACCCACUAGGGGCAAGAACAAAGAAGUCAGAGGUCACACAAAGACUCCUGGUCUCUGCAGCUGUGUCACUAUAGACCAAUGUCAUGACAAGGAAGACAGAGAGGGAAUACAUGAGGCAACUGAAAAUUUGAAUCUAGCACUCCACAAAUGACCAUCUUAAGAAUACAGCAAGGCCGGGCAUGGUGGCUCACGCCUGUAAUCCCAGCACUUUGGGAGGCUGAGGUGGGCAGGUCACCUGAGGUUAGGAGUUCAAGAUCAGACUGGCCAACAUGGUGAAACCCUGUCUCUGCUAAAACAUACAAAAAAUCAGCCAAGCGUGGUGGCACAUGCCUAUAGUCCCAGAUACUCAGGAGGCUAAGGCAGGAGAAUCGUUUGAACCCAGGAGGUGGACAUUGCAGUGAGCCAAAAUCAUACCACUGCACUCUAGCCUGGGCAACAAAUCAAGACAACAU